GGCCCGGUAGUUCAGUUGGUUAGAAUGCCAGCCUGUCACGCUGGAGGUCGAGGGUUCGAGUCCCUUCCGGGUCG
rfam:Caloranaerobacter azorensis H53214 contig130, whole genome shotgun sequence.